GACGAAGGAUGCAAGCGUUAUCCGGAUUCAUUGGGUUUAAAGGGUGCGUAGGCGGACUUGUAAGUCAGUGGUGAAAUCUCUUUGCUUAACAAAGAAACUGCCAUUGAUACUGCAGGUCUAGAGUAUAGAUGACGUUGGCGGAAUAUGACAUGUAGUGGUGAAAUGCUUAGAUAUGACACAGAACACCUAUUGCGAAGGCAGCUUGCUACACUGUGAUUGACACUGAGGCACGAAAGCGUGGGGAUCAAACAGG
rnacentral:rRNA from 1 species